AAGUUCUCGCCUCCUGCUCCGCCAUGGCUCCCAAAGGCAGCUCCAAACAGCAGUCCGAGAAGGACCUGCUCCUGCAGGAUUUCAGCCGCAAUCUCUCGGCCAAGUCCUCCGCGCUCUUCUUCGGGAACGCGUUCAUCGUGUCCGCCAUCCCCAUCUGGUUAUACUGGAGAAUAUGGCAUAUGGAUCUUAUUCAGUCUGCUGUUUUGUAUAGUGUGAUGACCCUAGUAAGCACAUACUUGGUAGCCUUUGCAUACAAGAAUGUGAAAUUUGUUCUCAAGCACAAAGUAGCGCAGAAGAGGGAGGAUGCUGUUUCCAAAGAAGUGACUCGAAAACUUUCUGAAGCUGAUAAUAGAAAGAUGUCUCGGAAGGAGAAAGAUGAAAGAAUCUUGUGGAAGAAGAAUGAAGUUGCUGAUUAUGAAGCUACAACAUUUUCCAUCUUCUAUAACAACACUCUGUUCCUGGUCGUGGUCAUUUUUGCUUCCUUCUUCAUAUUGAAGAACUUCAACCCUACAGUGAACUACAUCUUGUCCAUAAGUGCUUCAUCAGGACUCAUCGCCCUCCUGUCUACUGGCUCCAAAUAGACCAUGUCAGCUUCUCCCCCUGGCUUUGUGUCUAUGGGUGGCCUGUGGUAUAUGGAAAAGUCGCAGGGUGGUCAGGGUGGGAGACACACAAGAUGUUUUCAUAGUCUAGAGCCUUUAAAAAACCCAGCAGAAUGUAACUCAGUAUUUGUUUAUUGGCUGUUUUUGACAGAUUGUUGAAAUUAAAUGAAUUGAAAGGGAAAAAAAAAAAAAAAA